UCAUAGUGAUCCGGUGGUUACUGGAAUGGAAGGGCCAUCGCUCAACGGAUAAAAGGUACUCGGGGGAUAACAGGCUGAUACCGCCCAAGAGUUCAUAUCGACGGCGGUGUUUGGCACCUCGAUGUCGGCUCAUCACAUCCUGGGGCUGAAGUCGGUCCCAAGGGUAUGGCUGUUCGCCAUUUAAAGUGGUACGCGAGCUGGGUUCAGAACGUCGUGAGACAGUUCGGUCCCUAUCUGCCGUGGGCGUUGGAUGAUUGAAGGGAGUUGCUCCUAGUACGAGAGGACCGGAGUGAACGAACCUCUGGUGUUCGGGUUGUCACGCCAGUGGCACUGCCCGGUAGCUAAGUUCGGAAUCGAUAACCGCUGAAAGCAUCUAAGCGGGAAGCGAGCCCUGAGAUGAGUCAUCCCUGACCCCUUGAGGGUCCUAAAGGGCCGUUGGAGACCACAACGUUGAUAGGUGGGGUGUGUAAGCGCAGUGAUGUGUUGAGCUAACCCAUACUAAUUACCCGUGAGGCUUAACCAUACAACACCCAAGAAGUGUUCUG
rnacentral:rRNA from 1 species